GAUCUAGCUCGUUGACAUUCAAUUGAAAGAACUGGCAAACAAAGCUUCACACAUCACAAAAGACGAAAUCCCCAAGGUGAUAUUGAACGCCACUUCAACUUCUACACUGAGGAGAAGGCACUCAAGGUAGAUAUCCGUUCAUGUUGUCUGCAAGUGAUUCCAGACGUUUCAGGGCAACAGUGCUGAACAGUGGAUUGCUGAAAGGGAAAACACCCAGUUGGUAAGGGUUCAAUGGCCAUUGAUAAUUGGAGAGUAUUAUUGGAAUGCAACAGCUUAUCUGGCUUCGUCUGGUCCUAAGUUACACCAAACAAAACACAUCAUAAGUUACUUUAAAAAAUCUAAACAAAUUUAGAUUAGGAUAUUUGGACUUAAUAUUUCAACUUAAAUUUCAGCUGAAGUUUUUGUGUGACCUAGGUGCUUGUGACAAUAGAAAUCAAGGUUAACUUCCCCUGUCAAAUCGUGGUAAAUCUUCAAGAUAUUGAUGCCUUCCCCAGAUCCAAUUCUUUGCUGCUAUCUCUUCAAAAAACAAGGAACUGAACACUCACCCACUGGGAUAAUCAGGAGGAUGAGGAGGGCCCUGGUUGAAUGAGGACUUGGAAGGUGCAUGAUUUGAUGAAAACUUCUAGAGAACCAUUAGUCUAACUUGGAAAUCUUCUUUGUCUAAUUAUUCCCUAGCUAAAAUGGCUUUGCACCCAUAUCUCUUCUUCCUUGUCCAGAUAACUCCCUGGCACAAUCAAUCAAUGCAGUUACUUUCCUUUCUUGAUUGACCUUAUGUGUGAGUUUAAACAAAUUGACUAGCAUUUAGGCAUGCAAUGAGGAAAAAAGCUACUGGUGAGAUUGCAACUGUUGCUCUGUAUUUAUGAAACAUGGUUUUUUACUGAAGAUUAUUCUAUAGGUUUUUUAAUAUACUGAUUUAUAAUUAAGGUUA